AUGGGGAACAUACUGACCUGUUGUGUGUGCCCCAGGGACAGCCACGAGUUUGACCAGCAACAGGGGUCAGUGUACCCCUCUGAGUCCGAGAUCCAUGAGGCAGGAUCUGGGGACAGGAUGGCAGGAGCGCCCAUGGCUGCUGCUGUACAGCCUGCUGAGAUGACUGUUGAAGUUGGUGAAGACCUCCACAUGCACCACAUCCAUGACCGGGAGAUGCCUGAAGCUUUGGAGUUUAACCCUUCUGCCAAUCCAGAGGCAAGCACAAUAUUCCACGGGAACUGUCAAACAGAUGCUUUGGAGUUUAACCCUUCUGCCAAUCCAGAGGCAAACACAAUAUUCCACGGGAACUGUCAAACAGAUGGUUUCCACCAUGCACAUUACCCAGACAAGAAAUGGAGGUGGGAGUUUAAGUAACUAUUCUUCCUCCAUUCCAUCGACUCCCAGCACCAGCCAGGAGGACCUUCAGAUCAAUGUUCCUCCCACUGCCAACACACCCACGCCCGUUCUCAAGAAGUCCAAGUGCUGGUCCAAGCUGUUUACAUCUUAGAAAGGGAGUGACCCAGACAAAGAGAAGAAAGCCCCGGAGAGUCAUGCUGACACUAUCGGGAGCAGCAGAGCCAUCCCCAUUAAACAGGGCAUGCUCUUAAAGCUAAGUGGGGGCCGGGCGCGGUGGCUCAAGCCUGUAAUCCCAGCACUUUGGGAGGCCGAGAUGGGCGGAUCACGAGGUCAGGAGAUCGAGACCAUCCUGGCUAACACGGUGAAACCCCGUCUCUACUAAAAAAUACAAAAAACUAGCCAGGCGAGGUGGCGGGCGCCUGUAGUCCCAGCUACUCAGGAGGCUGAGGCAGGAGAAUGGCGUAAACCCGGGAGGCGGAGCUUGCAGUGAGCUGAGAUCCGGCCACUGCACUCCAGCCUGGGCGACAGAGCGAGACUCCGUCUCAAAAAAAAAAAAAAAAAAAAAAA
rnacentral:lncRNA from 1 species